CCCUUAGAUGUUCUGGGCCGCACGCGUGCUACACUGAGUGGAUCAGCGGGUCAGGUUGCGCGAAAGUGUUUCCUAAUCUUGAAAUCCGCUCGUGAUGGGGAUUGACGGUUGCAAUUUUCUGUCAUGAACGAGGAAUACCUUGUAAGCGCGGGUCAUCAUCCCGCGCUGAAUACGUCCCUGCCCUUUGUACACACCGCCCGUCGCUCCUACCGAUUGAGUGGUCCGGUGAGGCUUUGGGAUCUGGAUGGAAAGAGCGUUUCGCUGUUUCUGCCCGGAAAACUCAGUCGAACCUCAUCAUUUAGAGGAAGGAGAAGUCGUAACA
rnacentral:rRNA from 1 species